CACAUACUCCCUCUGUCCGGAAAUACUUGUCGGUGAAAUGGAUGUAUCUAGAUGUGUUUUAGUUCUAGAUACAUCCAUAUUUAACCAUUUCUCCGACAAGUAUUUCCAGACGGAGGGAGUAUUUA
rfam:Triticum aestivum genome assembly, contig: Triticum_aestivum_CS42_TGACv1_scaffold_250553_3DL